rnacentral:sRNA from 2 species
AUGUACCAAUCGCCCACUCCGGUUCCCAUGCGCUUUCCACACCCACCUGACGACUGCUCGCGGCGAUUUGUCAGCC